UGGGGAAUAUUGGGCAAUGGGCGCAAGCCUGACCCAGCAAUACCGCGUGUGUGAAGAAGGCCUGAGGGUUGUAAAGCACUUUCAAUGGGGAGGAAAAAGGCAAGUUUAAUACGCUUGCCCUUGACAUUACCCAUACAAGAAGCACCGGCUAACUCCGUGCCAGCAGCCGCGGUAAUACGGAGGGUGCGAGCGUUAAUCGGAAUUACUGGGCGUAAAGCGUGCGCAGGCGGUUUGUUAAGACAGGUGUGAAAUCCCCGGGCUUAACCUGGGAAUUGCAUCGGAUACAGCCUGGCUUGAGGACGGUUGGGGUGAGUGGAACUCCUGGUGGAGCGGUGAAAUGCGUAGAUAUCAGGAGGAACACCGGUGGCGAAAGCGGCUCACUGGACCGUAACUGACGCUGAGGUGCGAAAGCUAGGGGAGCAAACGGGAUUAGAUACCCUGGUAGUCCCUGAGCGGGCUGGCAAGGCGC
rnacentral:rRNA from 1 species